AGCGGAUCUAGUCUGCUGUAUGUAUCUAUGGUGGGCACGUCUGGUAGCAUCUCUGGCUGUUUUUGACCUUGUUUUUGGAGUAAAACACGGUGGAAGCUGAAUUAGUGAGGAUGACUCCUGCUCCUGUCAUCUCUAAGCUCCUCACACAUCUUUACCUGCACAUGAGGAAAAUCACUCCUGUAGAAUGCAGGUGACCAGUCUGACAGAUCUGUCAGAAUCUGUCAGACUGGCCACGCCCCCCGCCGUCUGGUGGUCUCUGGAGGAUGGAAUCCCAGGUGUGCGAGAGGGUGUAGGCCACCUCGUCCCGGUUCAUGGAGCAGCUCACCCGGGCGAGGUCAGAUGACGUCCCAUGAACCGGGACCACUGACCUCAUGUUUAUUAGC
ensembl:lncRNA